UUCUUACUAGUCCUAAAGGCCCAGGCUCUGUGGCCCUGUGUUCUGCAGGUAUUGGGAGAUCCACAGCUAAGACACCGGGACCUCCUGGAAGCCAAAAAUG
rnacentral:sRNA from 1 species